CCCGUUAGCCACGAACAAACCGUGUUAAUAGCAUUAAGCGCCGCUUUUUUUUUGUUCCGCCUGUUGUGCGCGUGUGUGUUAGUUUUUCUUCUUUUACUCUCGCCCGCUUUUCCCGGCCGACAAAAAUCGAUAAGUUUGUCCCUAGACUAAAGUCAUUAAGGAAAACCGCAGUUUUUAUCGAAGAAAACCGUGAUUAUCGAGAAAGUGUAUUUAAUGAUACUUUACCUAUUUGAUAAUGUGGCUUAACGCUGGGAGACGCUCUUCCGCCUGGGCAACCCACUACACUUUAGAAAUGGAAAUGUUUCGGGUGCCGAACGACCACCGGAUCGGACCCGGAUUUCUUUCCAAUGAUUUCCAACAAUCCUGCCUACCCGUCGACAUUAAUUAACGGCCUAAAAUUAACCGAUGGAGGCGAAGAGAGGUCGGCCGUGCCCGCUACGCUCUUAAAUUUUUAGCUGGGCGCUUUUGUUUACCCCAGGGGCCGACCAAAUAGCCGUCUGUUACGGCGGCCCGGAUCUCACCCGUUGCCUAUAUCUCGGGACGGCGUGUUGGGCCAUCGACCGGCUGGGACUUUUCGUUAAAAUUCCACUUAAAAAUCCCCGGACUAAGUAUUUUCGGUGGGAAACUGGGCCGUGGUCGGAGAAAGAAAGUUAGCCUUAGAAAACUUGACUCGGGGCUAGGUGUUGGCGGCGCCUAGGCCGAAGGAAAAUAUAUGGGAAUAGAGUGGAGGCUAAUAAUAACGGGCCCGUAACUGGAAAUGAUGGCGAGCGCGCCGCUACCGUCGGAUUUUAAUCACUAGAUAGAGCGCUGGCCGAGCCUGCCUAGCCAUGGCAGUUAAUGGGAUUGUUUGGAUGUUACUAACGAGGUUUUGCAUGGACGGCUGCUGUUUAUGUCUUCGGCUAUUGAUUCUAUUUAAACAGCGCUUAACUGGAAACUUAAUGAACUUCCAUAAUUCAAAGGUAAUUGAACUAUUGUUGGACAUUACCAUUGGCAGUUUCGCCUACUCCGAUCGCUUAAUAAACCGAUUAAUCGGGGAAACUGCCCGGCUUUUAACAUUCGUUUCUCUAUCGAUUUACCGGGGCGCCACGUUUUUUAUUGGCUCGGGCUGCGUGGGCGCU
rnacentral:lncRNA from 1 species